UUACCUCUUUAAAGGCCCUGUCUCCAAAUACAGUCACAUUCUGAGGUACUGGAGUUAGGACUUUAACAUGUGGACUUUGGGGAGACACAAUCCAGCCCACAACAGAGGAAAGUGAACUUGGUUUAUGACUCUGAAGACAAGACCUAUUGCAAUUCUUUAUUGUUCCCAUUAGUAUUCUCGCCUAGCAGAAAUAAAUGUUUGAGCAAGUUGUGGCAAUUUUUUACAUCAGUAUAUUGCACUGGAUGUAUAAAGAAAACAAAGAGAGAUUCAAUCUGAAUUCUUCUAUAUUUAGCUCACUUCAUAUUUUAUUUUCACUCUCACCUCUGCAGGAUCAGCUUCAAACCUUGUCAGGUUCUGACGAGUGCAGACGAAGCUGACAACGACCCCAUUUCCAGCUAGACUGUGAAAGGUAGCCAGAAGAAUGUGAAGGUUUUCUCUGAGACACGGAACAGCUAAAAAGGUUGUAAUUGGGAUGUGUUGCAAAGACUCAAAAUAUUAAGAUGCUGCGGCCACAGAGUAGCAGGGGUGAGAGGGAAGCCUGUGAGUAUUGCAGCCAGUGCCUGCCCUGGGCUGGGCUACACAAUCUGCUUUGUAAAAAUAGGAAUCAGUGCUGCUUCAAGAUCGCCAAAGAAGGUUCCAGAGUCUUCUGUAAUAAAAGAUUCAGUAUUCAACAGUCA